rnacentral:rRNA from 1 species
GACGAACGCUGGCGGCGUGCUUAACACAUGCAAGUCGAACGGAAAGGCCCUGCUGUUGUGGGGUGCUCGAGUGGCGAACGGGUGAGUAACACGUGAGUAACCUGCCCUUGACUUUGGGAUAACUUCAGGAAACUGGGGCUAAUACCGGAUAGGAGCUCCUGCUGCAUGGUGGGGGUGGGAAAGUUUCGGCGGUUGGGGAUGGACUCGCGGCUUAUCAGCUUGUUGGUGGGGUAGUGGCUUACCAAGGCGUUGACGGGUAGCCGGCCUGAGAGGGUGACCGGCCACAUUGGGACUGAGAUACGGCCCAGACUCCUACGGGAGGCAGCAGUGGGGAAUAUUGCACAAUGGGCGGAAGCCUGAUGCAGCAACGCCGCGUGCGGGAUGACGGCCUUCGGGUUGUAAACCGCUUUCGCCUGUGACGAAGCGUGAGUGACGGUAAUGGGUAAAGAAGCACCGGCUAACUACGUG